UACGGAGGGUGCAAGCGUUUAAUCGGAAUUACUGGGCGUAAAAGCGUGCGUAGGCGGUUCGUUAAGUCUGUUGUGAAAGCCCCGGGCUCAACCUGGGAAUGGCAAUGGAUACUGGCGAGCUAGAGUGUGUCAGAGGAUGGUGGAAUUCCCGGUGUAGCGGUGAAAUGCGUAGAGAUCGGGAGGAACAUCAGUGGCGAAGGCGGCCAUCUGGGACAACACUGACGCUGAGGCACGAAAGCGUGGGGAGCAAACGG
rnacentral:rRNA from 1 species